rnacentral:rRNA from 1 species
CCUGCAUGAAGCCGGAAUUGCUAGUAAUGGCAGGUCAGCAUACUGCCGUGAAUACGUUCCCGGGCCUUGUACACACCGCCCGUCACACCAUGAGAGUUGGAGAUACCCGAAGCCUGUGAGCUAACAAACGAGGCAGCAGUCGAAGGUAGAAUCAAUGAUUGGGGUGAAGUCGUAACAAGGUACC